GCCUUCGUGGUGUAGUGGUCAGCACGCUCGACGCGUAACCGAGAGGUCCGUGGUUCGAGUCCCGGCGAAGGCG
rnacentral:tRNA from 1 species